CAGCAUGGGCGCCAAAACACAUAAGAUCUCCAUACCCCGUCCGAUAUGAGAGACCACGUUCCCGGUAGGGUUCCCUACGGACCCAGUCCGUCCACCAUCUCCCAGGAUAUCUAGUCAGACUGUCCACAUUAUCUAUUUAUCAAGUCACAUAACCUUUUUCUCAUUUUUCUUAGUCUCAAUUAUCCAAUCAUACACAAAUACGUAAACC
rnacentral:lncRNA from 1 species